GAUGAACGCUGGCGGCGUGCCUAAUACAUGCAAGUCGAACGAAACUUCUUUAUCACCGAGUGCUUGCACUCACCGAUAAAGAGUUGAGUGGCGAACGGGUGAGUAACACGUGGGCAACCUGCCCAAAAGAGGGGGAUAACACUUGGAAACAGGUGCUAAUACCGCAUAACCAUAGUUACCGCAUGGUAACUAUGUAAAAGGUGGCUAUACUACCGCUUUUGGAUGGGCCCGCGGCGCAUUAGCUUGUUGGUAGGGUAAAGGCUUACCAAGGCAAUGAUGCGUAGCCGAAUUGAGAGGUUGAUCGGCCACAUUGGGACUGAGACACGGCCCAAACUCCUACGGGAGGCAGCAGUAGGGAAUCUUCCACAAUGGGCGAAAGCCUGAUGGAGCAACGCCGCGUGGGUGAAGAAGGUCUUCGGAUCGUAAAACCCUGUUGUUAGAGAAGAAAGUGCGUGAGAGUAACUGUUCACGUUUCGACGGUAUCUAACCAGAAAGCCACGGCUAACUACGUG
rnacentral:rRNA from 1 species